CACGAACCGUCCAAACGUUAUUCGGAAUCAUUGGGCUUAAAGGGUGCGUAGGCGGCGCGGUAAGUGAGAUGUGAAAUCCCUCGGCUCAACCGAGGAACUGCGUUUCAUACUGCCGUGCUUGAGGGAGACAGGGGUAAGCGGAACUGAUGGUGGAGCGGUGAAAUGCGUUGAUAUCAUCAGGAACACCGGUGGCGAAGGCGGCUUACUGGGUCUCUUCUGACGCUGAGGCACGAAAGCUAGGGUAGCGAACGGG
rnacentral:rRNA from 1 species